rnacentral:lncRNA from 1 species
GCGGUGUUGAGUAUGGAACGUUAUGUAUAUCUCAUGUGUUUGUGCACUACCAGUAUCAAUCUUUAAUUUGAAUUUAGUUUUAGUUGUUCAGCUCAUCAUGAAUCUUUAUCCGUCUUCAGGUGAUGCUUGUAUAGAAGGAGAUGUUACCAGGUUUUGCUUCUUUGAAGAAGAGGGUCGAUAGAUAUUCAUGCUCAUAGAUCAAAAAUAAAC